UUGGAUCGGCCAAAAUGUCAUUUGGGUAUUUUACUAAGAUGUUAUGGACAAACCUGAAUGAACUUUUUGGCCAACCCAAU
rnacentral:miRNA from 1 species